rnacentral:rRNA from 1 species
CCUACGGGGGCAGCAGUGGGGAAUAUUGGACAAUGGGCGAAAGCCUGAUCCAGCCAUGCCGCGUGUGUGAAGAAGGCCUUCGGGUUGUAAAGCACUUUCAGUGGGGAAGAAAGCCUUGGGGCUAAUACCCUCGAGGAAGGACAUCACCCACAGAAGAAGCACCGGCUAACUCCGUGCCAGCAGCCGCGGUAAUACGGAGGGUGCGAGCGUUAAUCGGAAUUACUGGGCGUAAAGCGCGCGUAGGCGGUCUGAUAAGCCGGUUGUGAAAGCCCCGGGCUCAACCUGGGAACGGCAUCCGGAACUGUCAGGCUAGAGUGCAGGAGAGGAAGGUAGAAUUCCCGGUGUAGCGGUGAAAUGCGUAGAGAUCGGCAGGAAUACCAGUGGCGAAGGCGGCCUUCUGGACUGACACUGACGCUGAGGUGCGAAAGCGUGGGUAGCAAACAGGAUUAGAUACCCCAGUAGUC